UCCGGUUUGGCACCGGCAGUCUUCCUAGAGUCCCCGCCAUUACGCGCUGGCAACUAAGAACAGGGGUUGCGCUCGUUGCGCCACUUAAGGCAACACCUCACGGCACGAGCUGACGACAGCCAUGCACCACCUGUGCACAGGCCCCGAAGGGCUGCCGUAUUUCUACGACAUUCCUGUGCAUGUCAAGCCUUGGUAAGGUUCUUCGCGUUGCGUCGAAUUGAUCCACAUAAUCCACCGCUUGUGCGGGUCCCCGUCAAUUCCUUUGAGUUUUAACCUUGCGGCCGUACUCCCCAGGCGGUCAACUUCACGCGUUAGCUUCGUUACCAAGGAAUUGCUUCCCCGACAACCAGUUGACAUAGUUUAGGGCGUGGACUAC
rnacentral:misc_RNA from 1 species